rnacentral:rRNA from 1 species
UACGUAGGGGGCUAGCGUUGUCCGGAAUCAUUGGGCGUAAAGCGCGUGUAGGCGGCUCGGUAAGUCCGCUGUGAAAGUCGGGGGCUCAACCCUCGGAUGCCGGUGGAUACUGUCGGGCUAGAGUGCGGGAGAGGAAAGUGGAAUUCCUGGUGUAGCGGUGAAAUGCGUAGAGAUCGGAAAGAACACCAACGGCGAAAGCACUCUGCUGGGCCGACACUGACACUGAGAGACGAAAGCUAGGGGAGCGAAUGGG